rnacentral:lncRNA from 1 species
GGUGUCACACGUAAAGCAGCAUCUGCUCACCCUUCCGGAGCUCAUGAGAUGCCACCUUGGGAUUGGUGUGGUUCGUUUAGUUCAGUUUUCUUUUUUGUGUUGUUUAGACUGUAUGUCUUUUGGUCGUUAUCUUUUUCUAUUCUUUUUUUUUACAUGACGUUGUCAUAUCAUGAUCAGUUUGUCGUCCACUUAUGGGUUGAAAUGUCCCUUUGGUAUCUUACCCUUCUUAUGCUUCUCUUCUACAGGUACAUGUUAUUG